CCUACGGGUGGCAGCAGUCGAGAAUUAUUCACAAUGGGGGAAACCCUGAUGGUGCGACGCCGCGUGGGGGAAUGAAGGUCUUCGGAUUGUAAACCCCUGUCAUGUGGGAGCAAAUUAAAAAGAUCGUACCACAAGAGGAAGAGACGGCUAACUCUGUGCCAGCAGCCGCGGUAAUACAGAGGUCUCAAGCGUUGUUCGGAAUCACUGGGCGUAAAGCGUGCGUAGGCUGUUUCGUAAGUCGUGUGUGAAAGGCGCGGGCUCAACCCGCGGACGGCACAUGAUACUGCGAGACUAGAGUAAGGGAGGGGGAACCGGAAUUCUCGGUGUAGCAGUGAAAUGCGUAGAUAUCGAGAGGAACACUCGUGGCGAAGGCGGGUUCCUGGACAUUAACUGACGCUGAGGCACGAAGGCCAGGGGAGCGAAAGGGAUUAGAUACCCGAGUAGUC
rnacentral:rRNA from 1 species